rnacentral:rRNA from 1 species
UACGUAGGGUGCAAGCGUUAAUCGGAAUUACUGGGCGUAAAGCGUGCGCAGGCGGUUAUGUAAGACAGGUGUGAAAUCCCCGGGCUUAACCUGGGAACUGCAUUUGUGACUGCAUAGCUAGAGUACGGUAGAGGGGGAUGGAAUUCCGCGUGUAGCAGUGAAAUGCGUAGAUAUGCGGAGGAACACCGGUGGCGAAGGCGGCAUCCUGGACCGGUAUUGACGCUGAGGCGCGAAAGCCAGGGGAGCAAACAGG